GUGCAUCUGUUAUAUUUAUAUUAUUAUCUAAUAAUUGUUUUGUCAUAUAUCCUAUCCAUAAUUGUAUUGUUUUUUCUGUAUCUAUUACACAGUCUAGGUCUAAAAAGUUAUAAUUUUUAUUAAUUAUUUGUUUUGGUAUCCAUUUAUCAUAUUCAUUAUAUUUUUUAAACUUAUUCUUAUAAUACAUAGGUUUUCUUAUUUCUGUUGUUUUAGGUAUUAUAUUUUCAUCUUCUUUUUUAUCAAGAGUAUUUAUUUCUGUGUGGGUAUUUUCUAAGUUUUCCUCAUUAAUUUUUUGUUCUUCAUUGAUUUCUUUUGUUUUUCAUUGAUUUCUAAAUUUUUUGUAUUUGUUAAUAUUUCUGUAUAUGUUUCACUACCUUCAGAAUCAUAAUUAUCUGUCUCUGUCUCUUCAACAUCUAUAUUAUUUAUUUCUAAUUCUUUGUUUUUUAUUUCCAAUUUUUCCUUAAAUUGAUUUAUUUCGUUCAGUAAUUUCUGUUCUCUAUCUUUUUCUUCUUUUUCUUUUUGUCUUUGUUCAUACAGCUCUUUUAACAUUUGUAGUUCUUUUUCUAAUUCAGCAAUCCUACUAUUUUUAGUUUCUUCUAUUUUUCGUAUUUC
rnacentral:lncRNA from 1 species